rnacentral:rRNA from 1 species
GACGAACGCUGGCGGCGUGCUUAACACAUGCAAGUCGAACGGAAAGGCCCUGCUUUUGUGGGGUGCUCGAGUGGCGAACGGGUGAGUAACACGUGAGUAACCUGCCCUUGACUUUGGGAUAACUUCAGGAAACUGGGGCUAAUACCGGAUAGGAGCUCCUGCUGCAUGGUGGGGGUUGGAAAGUUUCGGCGGUUGGGGAUGGACUCGCGGCUUAUCAGCUUGUUGGUGGGGUAGUGGCUUACCAAGGCUUUGACGGGUAGCCGGCCUGAGAGGGUGACCGGCCACAUUGGGACUGAGAUACGGCCCAGACUCCUACGGGAGGCAGCAGUGGGGAAUAUUGCACAAUGGGCGGAAGCCUGAUGCAGCAACGCCGCGGGCGGGAGGACGGCCUUCGGGUUGUAAACCGCUUUCGCCUGUGACGAAGCGUGAGUGACGGUAAUGGGUAAAGAAGCACCGGCUAACUAUGUG